rnacentral:rRNA from 1 species
GACGAACGCUGGCGGUGUGCUUAACACAUGCAAGUGGUGCGACGAACCAGAGCUUGCUCUGGGGCAAAGCCGCGAACGGGUGAGUAACACGUGGGUAAUCUACCCCGAUGACCGGGACAACCCGAGGAAACUCGGGCUAAUACCGGAUGUGGUACGGAGACAUAAGUCUCUUUACUAAAGGUAGCUUCGGCUUCCGCAUUGGGAGGGGCCGCGGCCAUUAGCUAGUUGGUGGGGUCAAGGCCUACCAAGGCAACGAUGGGUAGCUGGUCUGAGAGGACGAUCGGCCACACUGGGACUGAGACACGGCCCAGACUCCUACGGGAGGCAGCAGUGGGGAAUCUUGCGCAAUGCGCGAAAGCGUGACGCAGCAACACCGCGUGAGGGAAGACGGCCUUAGGGUUGUAAACCUCUUUCAGAUGGGACGAAGGUGAUGCGGUGAAUAGCCGAUGUCAUUGACGGUACCGUCAGAAGAAGCUCCGGCUAAACUACGUGCCAGCAGCCGCGGUAAU